CCAAGCUGACUAUAGCUGUUCGUAGGCUUCAGACAACCAUCACGAUGAAGCUCGUCUUGUCCAUCCUCUUGUUGGUAUCAGCGGUCAGUUGUGAAGUUACCGACGGUCCGUGGAGCGCCGUUGUCUGCAACAAACCAUUUGAAGUUAUAUCACGAGAAAUCAAUGACCUUGCUCUCUACAUCAGAUGUCGAUUCUACAUCCCUCGAAUGGAAAGGUGUCCAAGAGAUCAGAUCUUCAGCCUGCGCAAAAAGUACUGCGUGUAUCCAGAGAGGCUGGUAAACUCAUGUAACCCCCCCAAAAUGAACAGCUAUGGAUAGGCCGACCACUACGCCCCAGUGACUUAUGUCCAGCUGAGAAUCUGUCAAUAUACAAUUUGAAGCUGGCCGACCCAAUAUCUAGGAAAUCCAUUGUUAUCUUCAGCUGCUGACGUACGACUCGUGUGUAAAUAAACUAUUGUUUGCCCUU